rnacentral:rRNA from 1 species
AGAAAAGCCUCUAGAUAGAAAAUAGGUGCCCGUACCGCAAACCGACACAGGUAGUCAAGAUGAGAAUUCUAAGGUGAGCGAGCGAACUCUCGUUAAGGAACUCGGCAAAAUGACCCCGUAACUUCGGGAGAAGGGGUGCUCUUUAGGGUUAACGCCCAGAAGAGCCGCAGUGAAUAGGCCCAAGCGACUGUUUAUCAAAAACACAGGUCUCUGCUAAACCGUAAGGUGAUGUAUAGGGGCUGACGCCUGCCCGGUGCUGGAAGGUUAAGAGGAGUGGUUAGCUUCUGCGAAGCUACGAAUCGAAGCCCCAGUAAACGGCGGCCGUAACUAUAACGGUCCUAAGGUAGCGAAAUUCCUUGUCGGGUAAGUUCCGACCCGCACGAAAGGCGUAACGAUUUGGGCACUGUCUCAACGAGAGACUCGGUGAAAUCAUAGUACCUGUGAAGAUGCAGGUUACCCGCGACAGGACGGAAAGACCCCGUGGAGCUUUACUGUAGCCUGAUAUUGAAAUUCGGCACAGCUUGUACAGGAUAGGUAGGAGCCUUUGAAACGUGAGCGCUAGCUUACGUGGAGGCGCUGGUGGGAUACUACCCUAGCUGUGUUGGCUUUCUAACCCGCACCACUUAUCGUGGUGGGAGACAGUGUCAGGCGGGCAGUUUGACUGGGGCGGUCGCCUCCUAAAAGGUAACGGAGGCGCUCAAAGGUUCCCUCAGAAUGGUUGGAAAUCAUUCAUAGAGUGUAAAGGCAUAAGGGAGCUUGACUGCGAGACCUACAAGUCGAGCAGGGUCGAAAGACGGACUUAGUGAUCCGGUGGUUCCGCAUGGAAGGGCCAUCGCUCAACGGAUAAAAGCUACCCCGGGGAUAACAGGCUUAUCUCCCCCAAGAGUUCACAUCGACGGGGAGGUUUGGCACCUCGAUGUCGGCUCAUCGCAUCCUGGGGCUGUAGUCGGUCCCAAGGGUUGGGCUGUUCGCCCAUUAAAGCGGUACGCGAGCUGGGUUCAGAACGUCGUGAGACAGUUCGGUCCCUAUCCGUCGUGGGCGUAGGAAAUUUGAGAGGAGCUGUCCUUAGUACGAGAGGACCGGGAUGGACAUACCUCUGGUGUACCAGUUGUCGUGCCAACGGCAUAGCUGGGUAGCUAUGUGUGGACGGGAUAAGUGCUGAAAGCAUCUAAGCAUGAAGCCCCCCUCAAGAUGAGAUUUCCCAACUUCGGUUAUAAGAUCCCUCAAAGAUGAUGAGGUUAAUAGGUUCGAGGUGGAAGCAUGGUGACAUGUGGAGCUGACGAAUACUAA